CGGACGGGUGAGUAAUGUCUGGGAAACUGCCCGAUGGAGGGGGAUAACUACUGGAAACGGUAGCUAAUGCCGCAUAACGUCGCAAGACCAAAAAGGGGGACCUUAGGGCCUCUUGCCAUCGGAUGUGCCCAGAUGGGAUUAGCUAGUAGGUGGGGUAAUGGCUCACCUAGGCGACGAUCCCUAGCUGGUCUGAGAGGAUGACCAGCCACACUGGAACUGAGACACGGUCCAG
rnacentral:rRNA from 1 species